rnacentral:rRNA from 1 species
UACGUAGGUGGCAAGCGUUGUCCGGAAUUAUUGGGCGUAAAGCGCGUGUAGGCGGUUCCGUAAGUCCGCUCUGAAAGCCCAGGGCUCAACCCUGGGAGGCGGGUGGAUACUACGGAACUGGAGUACGGAAGAGGAGAUUGGAAUUCCUGGUGUAGCGGUGAAAUGCGCAGAUAUCAGGAGGAACACCAACAGCGAAGGCAGAUCUCUGGGACGUUACUGACGCUGAGACGCGAAAGCGUGGGGAGCAAACAGG